AAAAUGCCUGAGGCAUGGUGCCCGCUGCCAAAUCCACAGCUGUAGCACCAUGUACCGUCAUCCCUGGAGGAGUGCUAUGCCUCCCUAACACUGUGUUGCAUGUUGGGAAUGCAAACAUGCCCUUUUGAACACAGUGCCCCAUUUUGGCUGUUGUUUUUGGUAUGUGUGUGUAGUUACAGAGGGACAUACUUUCUCCUGUGGAAACAAUCAUAGGUGGCUGGAAGAACAGAAAAACUCAGCUCUCAGCAAAAGCAGCAAUAUGUAGAGAUUAUGUUGUUUGAAGAGAAAAUGACUAAAACUGUUAUUGCCUUGUUCUGCCUCCAGACACAGUUUUCCUUGCCCUGGAAGACAAAGAAAUAGCACAUGGCAAUGACUGUGGCAUUUAGUCAGAAGAAAGGGAAAAGUAUACCACUUGUUUUGGAGUUCAGUCUGUUGGACCUUGUACUUCUUGCUCUCAAAAGAGGUUCAGCAAAUUCCUGUAAUCCUCAAGAGGUGUGCAUGUGAGAAUAAGGUGGACCAUAAAAACAGAUAACAGACCCAUAUGAGGAUACACUCUUGUGUUCUGCUCUUCCUUGAGUUGUACAAAAACUGCAUUGCUCAUCUUUUCCACUGUCUGUGGAGUAUCUUCAUAAUAGCCAUUCAUGAAUCCAUCCUUAAGAAAUCAAAACAAAGUUUUGCCUUCAGGAGCCAUCAGGACCAGUGUGCUAUGAGUGACAUGGAAGAGGAGCUGGAAAGCAAAGGGAAAUUUCACAGAAUCACAGAAUUAUCUAGAUUAGAAGAGACCUCCAAGAUCACCGAGUCCAACUUCUUACCUAACACUAACAAGUCUUCCACUAAACCAUAUCACUAA
rnacentral:lncRNA from 1 species